GCCGGGGGAUGCACACGUUAUUCGGAAUCACUGGGCGUAAAGCGUCUGUAGGUGGUGAUGCAAGUCACUGGUGCAAAACUCUGGCUCAACCGGAGGAAAGCCAGUGAAACUGCAUGACUAGAGCGUGGGAGAGGUAGAAGGAAUUCCCUGAGUAGCGGUGAAACGCGUAGAUACAGGGAAGAACACCGGAGGCGAAAGCGUUCUACUGGAACACAACUGACACUGAGAGACGAAAGCUAGGGGAGCGAAUGGG
rnacentral:rRNA from 1 species